ACAGAAAUGGGGCCGAGUUGUUUUCCCUGAAAGAGACCAGGGUGAACUUUCCCAGCCCAACCGCCCUGAGGAGCGGGGCCGGCGCUCGGAUGUGGGUCUGUGUGAAUUCUGGGGCACAUCAUUGUGAGCACAAUUUUGGGUCAUCAUCAAAGAAGCCCGUGAAAGGCCGAAAUCUGGAAGUGAAAGCUCCCCUUAAAGCCCGGAUUUGGCUAGUUACUGCAGUCCAGAUCACCUUAACUCUGCCCCGUGACCCUGGCACAUGCGUAGCUAUGACGCCAUAUGGAUGGUGUUCCAUCCCAUCGCCCUCACUCCCUUGGAUGCUUGUGUCUUUCCUUCCAUGCAGGCGUCCCUUGCAGGUUGAAGUGGAGGAUGGUCCUGAGGUCAGAUUCUGUUUGAGAUCACCCCGGGAUUGUGAGAUUAAUGGCUGGGGCUAGGAGAGUCACAGGGGUUGAAGGCAGUUGGGUGCCUAACUCUGAAUAUUGUCUUUCUACGGGUGAAGGAAGGGGCAGAGUUAAGGGUGACCAUGGAGGGGUCAGUGGUGCAGAGAACCACAGGACGGAUGCCCGUGACCGGGGCAUUAAGGGCUCAGAGCAGGAGGUGAAGGAUGCCCAGGAAUGGGACAGAGUUAAGGACGCCCAUGGACGGACAGAGUUAAGGACGCCCAUGGACGGACAGAGUUAAGGACACGCAGAGGGUCACAGUGUCCGUGUCAUUGUUAUAUACUCACGUCCCAGCUCCAUCUCCCCCUGUCUCUCCUCAGAGCAAGCUUCUCCCCUGCUGAGGCUGGUGUCCCUGCAGAACGCCGAUGGCUCCUGGGACCUGGGGCCCACACUGGCCGCCGCACUGGGGGUGAGCGAGACCGACGCCAGGGGGAGGAUGCCCAGUGAGGACGUGGUCCCUGGCGUCUGGGCCACGGUGCUGGCCGUGGUCUGGCUGCACGGCCGGGCCGCGGGGCAGCGCGACGAGUGGGAGCUGCUGGAGGCAAAAGCUGUGGUCUGGGUGCAGGAUCGAGCAGGGCCCUGGCUGAGCGAGUGCCUGGAAGCCGCCAAUGCUUUGCUGGGCUGCAGUGUGGGCCCUGCCGUCUUUGGGCUCUGACCUCCCAGGGAUCCCUGCACCCACAAGCUACCCUGGGCCAUCAAGUGGGGGCCCUGAGGCCAGCAGUGGGCACUGGGUGCAGCCUCAGCCCAGCCUGGAGCUAACUCCCAGCAUGGAUCCCACCGCUGCCACCAAUUAGAAUUCAUGAGUCUCC